UCCCUGGUGGUCCAGUUGGUAAGACUCCAAGCUCCCUAUGCAGGGGGCCCAGGUUCGAUCCCUGGUUGGGGAA